rnacentral:rRNA from 1 species
UUGUCGUCAGUUCGUGCCGUGAGGUGUUCCGUUAAGUCGGGAAACGAACGCAACCCCUAUUGCCAGUUAC